GUUCUCAUAUUUAGCACAUCAUCUGCAAAGUUCCAAAAAUAGCAUAAAUUUUGUAUAUAUAAAAAUUAUUGAGAAUUCUCAUAAAUAAUAUCGUAUCAAGUUUUUUGGACAAAAAUAACACUCAAAAGUUUUUUGAACAAAAAUAGCACUCAAAUUACAUAGAAGGAAAGUGAAUGUAGAGACAAGAAUAAAGAAGAUGAAGCGACGGAGACAACAGCGGUGAAUAAAGCCAGGAUGCAAGUUUAUUGAACGAAAAUAACACUCAAAAGUUUUUUGAACAAAAAUAGCACUCAAAUUAUAUAGAAAGAAAGUGAAAGUAGAGACAAGAAUAAGGAAGAUGAAGCGACGAAGACAACAACGGUGAAGAAAGCCAGGAUGGGGGAAGCGAUGAAGACAGUAGCCGUGAUGAAAGGGAAGAGGAAGCUACUAAGAAAUAAGAGUUUCUUGUUUCAUCUGAAAGUCCAAACUGUUUAGUUAUUUUAUUUUAAAAUUCCUUCAAAGCUCUCUAAGAAGAGUCUAGGUUAGACUAUUUAACUUCACUUUGUUUCUUUUACAAAAUAUAUCUAGCUUUACUUUGGACUUUAAAUCUUUAAUU
rnacentral:sRNA from 1 species